ensembl:snRNA U6 U6 spliceosomal RNA
GUGAUUGCUUUGACAGCACAUCUACUAAAACUGGAUACAGAGAAGAUUAGCAUGGCCCCCGCACGAGGAUGACAGGCAAAUUCAUGAAGUGUUCCAUUUAAAA